GGAGAAGGAAGAAGAGGAGAAAGAGGAUGAGGAGAGACUUUCCAAGCCUACUUAUUUCAGUAUUGUACCAGUUGUUACAUGGAAAUCAUUAAUCCCUUUUUAAAGGACUAACAGCAGGUAUGGUCAAUACUAUUCCCAGUACUCUUGAAUUUCGCUAGAAGCCAGAAGUAGGAAACCACAUCUUCUGAAAGAUGCCAUAUAAUGUCCUUUAAUUUGUCAGAGAAAGUUACGAAGACCCAAGUGUUCACGCCCAGAAAGUUCAGACUGAAGGAAGCUUGUAGCAGAUGGCUGUUACGGUUCAGUCCACUUCACAGGUAUGCCCCAGGCCUGCAAAUGACUAUUUCACAUUUUGCUAUGUAAACCAGUGACUCAGUGUGUUGCUUCAGAACUAGAUACGUGCGGUUUUGCUUCACUUGAGGAAUUCAGUAAAGAACAUACUUCAUGUCAGCAGAAAGCCUCGUAAAUCCAUGUGAAGGACAUGACCAGACUCCCCUGCUAAUCAUGCAGCUGCAUGGACUUGGUUUCCCUUUCCCGACGGGGAACUUCUCAAGUCUUCCCCAUGGUCCUAGAAAGACAAGGAACAACAUUGGUGCCUCUUUUCCCCCUUGAAUCUACUCUUCAAGGUUAAAAAACAGCUGAAGGAGCCCGUAAACUUGAACAGAGUGGUUUUUUUUUUUCCUUCUGUACGUAAAAACUAUGCAUAUGCUCCCCUCCAGAUGGGUCCUCCAGGGAUGCCUGCCAGAAAAAACAAACAAGGCGACAAGGCCCUGGACAACUGCUCUUACAUAAUGGUGAGCUUCUGUACUGGCCCCGUGUCUACAGCCUGUGAGUCCUGGGAUAGAAAGCUUCCCAGAAGCACACAACGCAGACAGGAGAGGUAGGAAACAGUUAUCGUUCGUUUUCAGUUACAAAAGAGGAUUUGAAUCAUCACCGUUUCAUCCUGGGCCGAGAUGCUGCUUCAAAGAGCUCGUGUGAAUAGCACCUUCCACUUGCGUUUGGCAACAAGACGUUGGGAUUAGUGGGAUGAAGUGAACACAGAUAAAGCCUUCAAGUCUGGGAGCAUUUAUGCAGAGCACACUGGGCCCAGCAGGGCAUGCUGGGCUUGAGUGUUUGAAUACUUGGUUCCCAGACAAUGGCGCUGUUUGGAGAGAUUGUGGAAGCUUGAAGAGUCAAGGCCUAUCUGGAGGAAGGGAAUCUUGGUGAUGGUGAGCUUUAUAAAGCAUUGUACUCUUGAUCCCUGCUCCAACCAGAUGUCCAAGCUUCGUGUUUUACCAAGAUGGUGAGGAGUCCUAGCUAACAGCUCCCGAUACCUCAGACCCCACCAUGCCUACCUACUGUGUUAGACUUCACCUUGUCCAACCAUGAGCUAAAAUGAGUCCUGCUCCCCUAGAGAUGCUUCUUGUCAGGUAUUUGGUAAUAGUAAUAAGAAAAGCAGCCAGCAGUCGUUGAUUAGCUUGCCCAGUGCUGUUGAAGAGAAGGGUCUGGUAUGUGCCUAAUGCAGCCCUGGGAACAGCUGUCAUUCGCUAUUGGAAUAUGCUUUUCUCUGUUCCUCUCAGCAGCUGAGAUGCUGUGAGUGUUGAGUGAACAGAUCUUGGUGUUCAUUUUUCUCUGGCUAAGAAGUUGGAUCUAACAUGCUGUAUGAUUCAGGUAAACUUCAUGCUACCCUCUACACUCAGUUAAUAAAACCUUAUUCUUGCCAGGAAAUGGAAUUUUUAACCCCAGCACUU
rnacentral:sRNA from 1 species